GACGAACGCUGGCGGCGUGCUUAACACAUGCAAGUCGAACGGAAAGGCCCCUUUGUUGUUGCUCGCUUGGCUAACGGGUGGGUAACACGUGCGUAACCUGCCCUUCCCUUCGUGUUAACUUCAUGCAACUGGGUCUAAUACCUGCUAGGUAUCCUUUCUGCCUGGUUGGGGUUGGAAAGCUUCGGCGGUUUUGGAUGGACUCGCGGCUUAUCAGCUUGUUGGUGGGGUAGUGGCUUACCAAGGCUUUGACGGGUAGCCGGCCUGAGAGGGCGAACGGCCACAAUGGGACUGAGAUAAGGCCCAGAAUCCUACGGGAGGCAGGAGUGGGGAAUAUUGCACAAUGGGCGGAAGGCUGAUGCAGCAAAGGCGCGUGCGGGAUGAAGGCCUUCGGGGUGUAAACCGGUUUUAGCAGGGGAGAAGCUUGUGGUGACGGUAACGGGAGAAGAAGCACCGGCUAACUACGUG
rnacentral:rRNA from 1 species